UUACUGCGAUUUCCCUCCUUUCGGAAUAAAUGUUUUCCAAGGUCCCUGCAAACACUCAUACUCACGUGUUCGACUUUUCCUCUUUCUCUCAUUCCACCCCCUUCUCUUAGCUUUUGCAGUUCAGCUCCGGGACACUGAAGUCAAGUGUUCAUUGCAGCACGUUGGAAACAUCUGGCCAUGCUAUCAAGGAGACCCGCACCCUGCUUACCUUUGAGGACAGAGUUUGUGUCCUUCGCUAGGGGGAGGAUUUCCUAGCUCAUGGAGGUUAUAGUUCGUUUCUCGGGAACUAUCUAAUUCAAAGGUGCCAGCUAUAAUUUUAAGCAGCAGAACCCUGCCUUCAGAUGAACCAUGGACACCGUAAUUCAUUUUAUAAAUCAGGCAACCAACCAAGCCAGUGAGCUGUGUGACCACUUCUACAGAAGGAUACGGCUUUUGAGUCUACCAAGUAGAAUCAAUGGAUACCUAAAAUGAAAGAGAAUGUAUCUUCAACCAAAAUCUGAGAUUUGCAUUGUUAUAGAGCAAUAGAACUUGUGUUUACUAAUAUAUAUAGUUGAUUAACUUCAUUGUUUUUGUGGAAAACCAUGCUUUGUAUUUUACUACAUCCCCAAAUGUUCUAUAUGCUGUUUUAUUUGGAUAAUACAGUCUUGAAGGGACACAGAUUUCCUGAAGCCUGCUUUUGAAUUCAAGUCUAAUACUUAACUGGCAUGAACCAGAAUAGCAGAAUUGAUUGUCAAACUCUGAAAUAAUCCCAUAGUUAACAGCACACUCUUGCCUGGAGCCUUCAGAAACCCACAUAUCCCUGACUCAGCUAUCUUUUACCUUCACCUCAUCCUAACUCCCCAAGAUCCAGCAACUAAAGAGUUCACAACCAGCCCAGUGGGGUCUCCGGUACCCAGUCCCAGCAGUACUGUGGGCACCCAGUGUUAGACCUCAACCCCAAAUAUUAAUAUUUCUAUAGCAUUUCUUAUUUCUGCUCGAUAAACUUGGCACCUUAAAAAGAUCUCUGAGAGGGUUUCAUUUGUGGAUGGGCUGGAGAUAGCACAGAUUGGUAGAAUGGGAAGUCUGCAUUCUGGAACUUUCUCCAUCUUUACCAUGACCCUCCAAAAUUGAACUGUCUCAUGUCCUAUCCACUAGUCUCCUGAAACGUCCCCUGAAUAAAAAGGUUCUGUGGUCCUCUGAGAUGGUGAAUGUUGCUUGCUAUCUCCUCUUUCGGGAGCUUCAUAUAUUACAUAGUAAAAUAAAGGCUCUGAGAAGA